UGCCUCUCGCCCCGCUCGCGAUGUUCGGCUGCUCGGGGCUCGGCCGAUUUCCCCCUUUUGGAGGAGGCGCGCGGUGCAGCCCGGCAGACACCCUGGGAGCGAGGAGGGUAUUUUGGGGAGUUGCAGUGUUGUGCGGAAGAUCAUGUCUGUGCCCUGUGGUGCUGUCAGCAGUGACAGAUCCCAGACGCGGCCGCUACUGUAUGGCAGAUUGAGUUUCUCAGCAGAAAACUCUCCCUCCCUCCCUCCCUCCUGAACGUCUUCAAAAACCUUCUCCAGAUACUGCGGGUCACUUCGGCUCCAGCGGAGAGAGAAAAGGGGAAAAAGCCUUCCCGGUCUCCCACCUUCCCUUCCUCCCGCCGGCUCUUCCUGGGGCGCGGGGGGGCCGUGCCCUACCCUCCCCCCUCUCCCCCCCUCGGGGGUGCUCUCGGCUCCCCGAUCGCCUCCAGUGCGCUCAGAGCCCGCAGCGGGACGUCUUCUUCAGGCCCACAUCUGGACUGAGGAGCGGAGAUGAUGGAGAGCGAGGAAUCGGCUGCAAGCAGCCUGCUUCACAGGCACUCCUGGAUGGGUCACCCCAUGCCUGCGAGCAAUGGGUCAGGGCAGUGCUGUCAAUAACAUGGUGUUGUAUGUAAAGCUGGGAGCACAGAGUCCCACACCGUUGUAUGUGCUCAGCAAAGCUCCCAUUUGCCUCCAGGAGAAUUCUGCCUAUGUAAGGACUUAAGAGCCAUUGCUAGGAGCUAAGAAAAGAGCAUUAUUAAUUCACUUCAUCGCUGGCUCAGUGAAAGCCAACAGCUUUCUGCAGUCUUGCCAAAAUGAAGAGGAGAUGGUCUGAGGUACAUGCAGGGUGAUUUUCAUACCGAAGGUGAGAAAGGAGAAAUCGUUUUAAGGUACGGUAACUUGCCGUACAAACGUGAUCUGUGUUCCCUCCCAGCUUUGAAAGGAGACUUUAUAAACUCUGUGGCCUUUGAUUUGUUAAGGCAACCUUAUACUUAUUUUUUUUAAUUCCCAAGUUUGUGAGAAAAUAGAAAGGAACCCUUGAUGUUCUUAUGCUCUCGAUUAUCACUUCAUUGUAGAAGUAUUUGCUUAAUGAAACAUACAGCAAAUAUUGCACUGUAAAACCUGUUGCAAUGUACUCAAUAUCUUUUGGAAUUAAUAGAAAAAAAAAUACAAGACUGCAGAAAAGGCACUAAUUUUUAUUUUAUCUAAUAAAAAUGUUACUUGACUGCAAAGCACUUUGCUUUAUUUUCUCACUUAUAUUGUAUAUAUUUGAAGAGAAAUGUCUGCUGCACGUCAUCUAUCUAACACAAAAAACUGAUGCUGUUAUUAAUAAGUUACAGAGAAAAAUAAACCAGUUUGCACUUUGAUUUUUAUCAUUCCUAGUGAGCGAUUCCUUUGGAAUAAACAUAACUCUAACACAUGUAAACAACACAGGAAAUUAAUAACAAAAUUCUUUGGAUUUAUUUCAGAUGCCACAUACUUUAUGUAAAUAUAUGCGGCUUUCAAUUUCAAUGAUUUUCCAAUGAUUACAGAUACUCAGAUGGAGCCAUGUCAUCACCUGCUCAGGCUCCAACUCCCCCAGGACCCCGUGCCCCCGAUGUUACCAUAAGCGUUGCUGCUCGGCACAGCAAGCUGGGAAAAACAGCAUGGGCUCGUUUCAAACACUUGGCUCACCACAG
ensembl:lncRNA